rnacentral:rRNA from 1 species
GAUGAACGCUGGCGGCGUGCCUAAUACAUGCAAGUCGAGCGAACGGACGAGAAGCUUGCUUCUCUGAUGUUAGCGGCGGACGGGUGAGUAACACGUGGAUAACCUACCUAUAAGACUGGGAUAACUUCGGGAAACCGGAGCUAAUACCGGAUAAUAUUUUGAACCGCAUGGUUCAAAAGUGAAAGACGGUCUUGCUGUCACUUAUAGAUGGAUCCGCGCUGCAUUAGCUAGUUCGUAAGGUAACGGCUUACCAAGGCAACGAUGCAUAGCCGACCUGAGAGGGUGAUCGGCCACACUGGAACUGAGACACGGUCCAGACUCCUACGGGAGGCAGCAGUAGGGAAUCUUCCGCAAUGGGCGAAAGCCUGACGGAGCAACGCCGCGUGAGUGAUGAAGGUCUUCGGAUCGUAAAACUCUGUUAUUAGGGAAGAACAUAUGUGUAAGUAACUGUGCACAUCUUGACGGUACCUAAUCAGAAAGCCACGGCUAACUACGUG